rnacentral:lncRNA from 1 species
GCGCACGCUGGGCCACUUCCUUUCUCGGCAGCGCCGUAGAGCGCGAGCAGACGGUGCAGCAUGGCGCACAGCGGAGGCCGCGGGCGGCCGAACCCGGCGUGUCCUUGGGCGUUUCCAGGUGCAACAAAACCUGCUCAUUUGAAGGUGCUUGAACAAAUAUUUUCUAAACACUUGUCAUGGAGAGUGAUUGAAACAAGCUGCCAGGACUACAUUUGCCAAUAACAAGCAUGUAGGUGGCUGUAGUGGAUGUCCAACUUUGGGAGCUGUGAUGUCUAAAAACCCUUUAUUGUUUUGGGUGCAGCUUACAUAUUGGAAGGUAAAAUGAAGGCCAUGAACAAAGUCAAGAAGCCAUAAACAGAAGCAAAUGGUGAAAAUUAAUAUCUAAUUUAAUAUUAAUAAGUUAUAUAUAAAUAAACAGUUAUUCUUAAUUGCUGUGGGCAGUAAUUUCUUUAAAAUGUCAUUCUCGUAGUAAAAUAAACUCGUCUUUCAUGAGCUGCGGACUUUUUGUCAAUGCAAUCCUGAUGGCUGGCUAGUAAGUAGCCAGUAAUGCACAGCAGGAAAGAAAGUGAUUGGCAAUCUGUCUAGGAUCACUUGAAACUCUCAAACUGGAUUUCCUCGAGUGAAGACUUGGCUAAAUCUUUAACCAAUAGAAUCCCUAUGACUUGGGCCUUUGUAAGGGCUGGGGAAGUUUAACUGGCUUAACAAGGCACAAAGCUCUGGAUUUGAUUCCCAG